rnacentral:lncRNA from 1 species
UGCAGCAAUCAUGAAAGUACCCGUUGCAAUCGCAAGCCACCAAGUUUAGCAAUGCCGGGGCUUUUGCCUUAUAGAAAAUGACCUUACCCACAAGAGUCUUCCCAAAUAUUCCGCUCGUGAGAUCAGUCAGCAAGGUAAUUGCCGGUCAUCACAAUGCGUAUUCGGAGAAUCCACGUUUUUUACUCCUCCGGCGGGGCUAGCGGCGAGCGCGGCGGACGCGAUGCCCAUCCAUGCACCGGUGCCAAGUUCACCGCGGGCGCAGACUGAACUUAUAUUUUCCUCCGGAACACAUAUCUACCUCUGGAAAUAAUUGCUGUUUGAGGCUAACAUGAAAUAUUAAGAGUGUGAUGGGCUGAUAGGAAUCUGCGCAUAGUAACAAGGUGUAAUACUGGAAACCACACCUCUGUAUGACAAAAAUCAAUAUCUACUGACAUUUAUGGCUGUUGUGAUUCACAGAAACACAGAAAGGCUGGAAGACACUUCUGGAGAUUUUCUAGUCUAACCCCCUUGCUUAAAGCAGGGACACCUAGAGCAGGUUACCUGGGUCAUUGUCCAGUCAAGUUUUUAAUAACUCCAAGCCUCCAGACUCCACAACAUCUCUGGACAAACUGUUAGACCCGGGAAGAAGUGAGCAGUUUUUAAUACCAUUUUAUUAUUUGAGAUUAUUAAUUUUGAUACUUGCCACUCUUAUUUUUCCUUGUAGCCAUAUAUGCAGAUGUUCUCAGAGGUAAUUAUGACAGAAAGGGAUCUCACUCUUUACAGGAGAAGUCACUUUUGUAUGUAACGGCCAGCAAAAAAAUCCAAUUAAAAAUGUUUCCCAAAGUUUCCCUCCUCACCGAAAGGACAACCAGCUACAGCAUGAAUAAAUCUUUAGCUGUAGUCUGCCA